GCCUCCUUUCCUUGGCAGUUUGCUGGCUCCGUGAUCUGAAGGUUCUGGGUUCAAAUGUGACCUCAUCUGCCUUGCUGAGGCUCCAGAGCCUGCCUGGUUCUCCUUUAGUGCCCGGUGGGGACCGAGAGGCCGUGGCCGCCCCUCCCUUGGACUCCAAAGCGGGGUGCCCGAAGGCGGCUCCCCUCUCCGUCAUGGCUCAGGGAGCCCCGUGUGGCCUGGGCUGAGGGGCUUCCCCAGUCUGUGGGGCCCCCUCUGUUCCCCGCACGACAUCCCCCCACAAGGGACCCCGAACCAGCCCAGUCAGAAGGUGCUUCCCGAGCACUGAGCCAGGUGGGCUGCCCGGGUGUCCCCGCCAGCUUCCAGGGUGUUCAUGGGAAGGGCCCAAGUUUGAGGCCCGGCCCUGGGCAGCCCCCCGGGGAGGGGGUUCUUUCGGUGGCUUCUCCCCUCCCAGGCUGGCUCACUGCCAGGGAAAGCUCCAUUUAUGUGAAUCAGGGCUGGGGGACUGGGGGGGGUCUGCUAGCCCAGAGAGUCCCAGGCUUGACUGGGGCCUCUGAGCCUCGGUUUCCUCAUCUCCCAAAUGGGGCUACGUCCAGACGAGGCUUGAACCCAUCAGCCCCUCCCCACGUUCCAAAGGGCCCUAUUGCUGCUGUCCCCAGGCAGCACCCUGGCUGCCUCCCUCCCCUUGAGGCUGCCUGCCAGGACCCAGCAGCUGGAGUCCUCCAGGGGGGAAUUGGCUUUUGCCUCUUUUUGAACCCCCAGGCUUAGCGGUGCCUAAAGGAGCCUUGUGGGCCCUGUUCAGCCCUGAGGCUGAGCCCUGAGAGAGACUGGAGGGUGGGCCAUUUCCUCCUCCAGCUCAUUUUACAGAUGGGGAAACUGAGGCCAUCAGGGUGAAGUGACUUGUCCAGGGUCACCCAGCUAGGAAGUGUCAGCACGAUGAGCCUGUAGGUAGGGAGGUGCCACCUAUUACCUGUGAAAGCCAGUCUAGGAGUGUGAAGGAGAUGGGGGCCUGCAGGGGCUGGUGGUCCGGUGUCAGCCCGGGGGGUCCCCAGGAAGAGGAGGGGCUCAGGCGGGGUGGCCUCUCGGCCCCUCCCAGCUCUGAGCUCCCGGAGCUGGGUUCCAAAGCUGCCUUCCUCCCCGGGCAGGGCAGGAAUGAUCCCCAGGGCCCCGGAUGCUGCUGGAUCCUCAGUUGCACCUGUCGAGCCCCCCCAUCCCCCCAAGGCCUAGGGGCUGGGCUCCAGGGCGGACACAAACGAGCAGCCCGGGGGCGGCCCCCCUGGCCCCUCGGGAGCGCCGGCCUCUCGGGCCGGCCCGGGUCCGAGAGGCUGCGCAGAGGCGCUCGGGGCAGCUGCACCGCGAGCCUGUGGCCAGCAGGAGGAAGAGGAAGUGAGAGCAGCGGCAACGGUGGCGGAGGCGGCGGCAGCAGCAGCAGCGGCGGGGACGGGGACGCGGGGGGGGG
rnacentral:lncRNA from 1 species